GAUGAACGCUAGCUACAGGCUUAACACAUGCAAGUCGCAGGGUAACAUGAGGAAAGCUUGCUUUCCUUGAUGACGACUGGCGCACGGGUGAGCAACGCGUAUCCAACCUUCCCAUAACUACGGGAUAACCCGUUGAAAGACGGCCUAAUACCGUAUGAUAUCGUUUGCUGACAUCAAAUAACGAUUAAAGGUUUAGCGGUUAUGGAUGGGGAUGCGUCUGAUUAGCUUGUUGGCGGGGUAACGGCCCACCAAGGCGACGAUCAGUAGGGGUUCUGAGAGGAAGGUCCCCCACAUUGGAACUGAGACACGGUCCAAACUCCUACGGGAGGCAGCAGUGAGGAAUAUUGGUCAAUGGGCGAGAGCCUGAACCAGCCAAGUAGCGUGCAGGAUGACGGCCCUAUGGGUUGUAAACUGCUUUUAUGUGGGGAUAAAGUGCGUGACGUGUCAUGCAUUGCAGGUACCACAUGAAUAAGGACCGGCUAAUUCCGUGCCAGCAGCCGCGGUAAUACGGAAGGUCCGGGCGUUAUCCGGAUUUAUUGGGUUUAAAGGGAGCGUAGGCUGUCUAUUAAGCGUGUUGUGAAAUUUACCGGCUCAACCGGUGGCUUGCAGCGCGAACUGGUCGACUUGAGUAUGCAGGAAGUAGGCGGAAUUCAUGGUGUAGCGGUGAAAUGCUUAGAUAUCAUGACGAACUCCGAUUGCGCAGGCAGCUUACUGUAGCAUAACUGACGCUGAUGCUCGAAAGUGCGGGUAUCAAACAGG
rnacentral:rRNA from 1 species